rnacentral:rRNA from 1 species
UACAGAGGUCCCAAGCGUUGUUCGGAUUCAUUGGGCGUAAGGGGUGCGUAGGCGGUGGGGUAAGUUGGAUGUGAAAUCUUGGGGCUUAACCUCAAAAUUGCAUUCAAUACUGCUCCGCUCGAGUUCUGUAGAGGAGAUUGGAAUUUACGGUGUAGCAGUGAAAUGCGUAGAUAUCGUAAGGAACGCCAGUGGCGAAAGCGAAUCUCUGGGCAGCAACUGACGCUGAGGCACGAAGGCCAGGGGAGCAAACGGG